rnacentral:pre_miRNA from 1 species
AAUAAGAUCAUUUUUCAGUUUUUCAAUUCAAUGUUUUGACUCUUCAUCUUAUUUGAAAUUUUUUGUGAUUAAUAUUUUUAUUCUUACUAAUGAUAAAACGUAAAUAGUACUUUAUGCGUAACUAAUUUUUUUAAGUUUUUGUACAAAUUCUUCAAAUAAGACGAAUGGUCAAACGUUGGACAUAGAAAA